GAUGAAGAACGCAGCGAAAUGCGAUAAGUAAUGUGAAUUGCAGAAUUCAGUGAAUCAUUGAAUCUUUGAACGCACAUUGCGCCCGCUAGUAUUCUGGCGGGCAUGCCUGUCCGAGCGUCAUUUCAACCCUCAAGCCCCCGGGCUUGGUGUUGGGGAUCGGCGAGCCUCCGCGCCCGCCGUCCCCUAAAUCUAGUGGCGGUCUCGCUGUAGCUUCCUCUGCGUAGUAGCACACCUCGCACUGGGAAACAGCGCGGCCACGCCGUUAAACCCCCAACUUCUGAACGUUUGACCUCGGAUCAGGUAGGAAUACCCGCUGAACUUAAGCAUAUCAAUAAGCGGAGGA
rnacentral:misc_RNA from 1 species